rnacentral:rRNA from 1 species
AACGCGAAGAACCUUACCUGGGUUUGACAUGCACCAGACGCCGGCAGAGAUGUCGGUUCCCUUGUGGUUGGUGUGCAGGCGGUGCAUGGCUGUCGUCAGCUCGUGUCGUGAGAUGUUGGGUUAAGUCCCGCAACGAGCGCAACCCUUGUCCUCUGUUGCCAUCAGGUUAUGCUGGGCACUCUGAGGAGACUGCCGGUGGUAAACCGGAGGAAGGUGGGGAUGACGUCAAGUCAGCAUGGCCUUUAUGUCUGGGGCUACACACGUGCUACAAUGGCCGAUACAAACCGUUGCAAGCCCGCAAGGGGGAGCUAAUCGGAGAAAGUCGGUCUCAGUUCGGAUUGUCAGCUGCAACUCGCCGGCAUGAAAUUGGAAUCGCUAGUAAUCGCGGAUCAGCACGCUCCGGUGAAUACGUUCCCGGGCCUUGUACACACCG